rnacentral:rRNA from 1 species
AAUGGGGGAAACCCUGAUGCAGCGACGCCGCGUGAGUGAAGAAGUAUUUCGGUAUGUAAAGCUCUAUCAGCAGGGACGAUAAUGACGGUACCUGACUAAGAAGCCCCGGCUAACUACGUGCCAGCAGCCGCGGUAAUACGUAGGGGGCAAGCGUUAUCCGGAUUUACUGGGUGUAAAGGGAGCGUAGACGGUGUGGUAAGUCAGGUGUGAAAGCCCGGGGCUCAACCCCGGGAUUGCACUUGAAACUAUCAUGCUAGAGUGCAGGAGAGGUAAGUGGAAUUCCUAGUGUAGCGGUGAAAUGCGUAGAUAUUAGGAGGAACACCAGUGGCGAAGGCGGCUUACUGGACUGUAACUGACGUUGAGGCUCGAAAGCGUGGGGAGCAAA